GCAAGGAGUACAUUGGUAGAUCACAUCUGCAACAGAACCAUUACAGAUUCCUUGUUGUAUCAAUGUCUCUGUGUUUAUGUUUACAGGAGUUCCUUGCUUUGCAGGUAUGUACAUAUGUAGAGUUUAAGAAAAGCUGCAAAUCGUGCUUUAGUACAAGUGUCCAAUGAUGUCAGGUUUCUGAAAGAUUUUGCUGGUCUUUUUAUAUUUCAUUCUCUUGGCAGGGC